rnacentral:rRNA from 1 species
AGGACGAACGCUGGCGGCGUGCUUAACACAUGCAAGUCGAACGGAAAGGCCCUUCGGGGUACUCGAGUGGCGAACGGGUGAGUAACACGUGAGCAACCUGCCCUUAGCUCCGGGAUAGCUCCGGGAAACCGGAAUUAAUACCGGAUACAACACCGGCCGACAUCGGCCGGUGUGGAAAGAAUUUCGGCUAGGGAUGGACUCGCGGCCUAUCAGCUAGUUGGUGGGGUAAAGGCCUACCAAGGCGACGACGGGUAGCCGGCCUGAGAGGGCGACCGGUCACACUGGGACUGAGACACGGCCCAGACUCCUACGGGAGGCAGCAGUGGGGAAUCUUGCGCAAUGGGCGAAAGCCUGACGCAGCGACGCCGCGUGGGGAUGAAGGCCUUCGGUGUAAACCCUUUCAGCAGGACGAAGCGAAAGUGACGGUACUGCAGAAGAAGCGCCGGCUAACUACGUGCCAGCAGCCGC